AGUGAACGCUGGCGGUAGGCCUAACACAUGCAAGUCGAACGGCAGCACAGUAAGCGCUUGCUCUUACGGGUGGCGAGUGGCGGACGGGUGAGGAAUACAUCGGAAUCUACUUUUUCGUGGGGGAUAACGUAGGGAAACUUACGCUAAUACCGCAUACGACCUACGGGUGAAAUCAGGGGUUCUUCGGACCUUGCGCGUUUGAUUGAGCCGAUGUCGGAUUAGCUAGUUGGCGGGGUAAAGGCCCACCAAGGCGACGAUCCGUAGCUGGUCUGAGAGGAUGAUCAGACACACUGGAACUGAGACACGGUCCAGACUCCUACGGGAGGCAGCAGUGGGGAAUAUUGGACAAUGGGCGCAAGCCUGAUCGAGCAAGACCGCGUGGGUGAAGAAGGCCUUCGGGUUGUAAAGCCCUUUUGUUGGGAAAGAAAAGCAGCAGGUUAAAACACCGAUGUUCUGACGGUACCCAAAGAAUAAGCACCGGCUAACUUCGUG
rnacentral:rRNA from 1 species